AACGUAGGAGGCAAGCGUUAUCCGGAGUUACUGGGCGUAAAGCGCGCGCAGGCGGUUGGAUAAGUGGAUUGUCAAAGCACCAGGCUAAACCUGGGGAAGGCAGUUCAGACUGUCGAGCUAGAGCCAUCUAGAGGGACGCGGAAUUCGGGGUGUAGCGGUGAAAUGUGUAGAGAUCCCGAGGAACACCAGCGGUGAAGACGGCGUCCUGGGGGUGAGCUGACGCUGAGGCGCGAAGGCGUGGGGAGCAAACAGG
rnacentral:rRNA from 1 species